GAUGAACGCUGGCGGCGUGCCUAAUACAUGCCAGUCGAGCGAACAGAUAAGGAGCUUGCUCCUUUGACGUUAGCGGCGGACGGGUGAGUAACACGUGGAUAACCUACCUAUAAGACUGGGAUAACUUCGGGAAACCGGAGCUAAUACCGGAUAACAUAUUGAACCGCAUGGUUCAAUAGUGAAAGGCGGCUUUGCUGUCACUUAUAGAUGGAUCCGCGCCGUAUUAGCUAGUUGGUAAGGUAACGGCUUACCAAGGCAACGAUACGUAGCCGACCUGAGAGGGUGAUCGGCCACACUGGAACUGAGACACGGUCCAGACUCCUACGGGAGGCAGCAGUAGGGAAUCUUCCGCAAUGGGCGAAAGCCUGACGGAGCAACGCCGCGUGAGUGAUGAAGGUCUUCGGAUCGUAAAACUCUGUUAUCAGGGAAGAACAAAUGUGUAAGUAACUGUGCACAUCUUGACGGUACCUGAUCAGAAAGCCACGGCUAACUACGU
rnacentral:rRNA from 1 species